UACGAGGGGAGCAAGCGUUGUUCGGAUUUACUGGGCGUAAAGGGCGCGUAGGCGGUCGUGACAAGUCACUUGUGAAAUCUCCGGGCUUAACUCGGAACGGUCAAGUGAUACUGUCGGACUAGAGUACAGAAGGGGCAACUGGAAUUCUCGGUGUAGCGGUGAAAUGCGUAGAUAUCGAGAGGAACACCUGCGGCGAAGGCGGGUUGCUGGGCUGACACUGACGCUGAAGCGCGAAAGCUAGGGGAGCGAACGGG
rnacentral:rRNA from 1 species